rnacentral:rRNA from 2 species
AACGAACGCUGGCGGCAGGCUUAACACAUGCAAGUCGAGCGCCCCGCAAGGGGAGCGGCAGACGGGUGAGUAACGCGUGGGAACGUACCUUUUGCUACGGAAUAACUCAGGGAAACUUGUGCUAAUACCGUAUGUGCCCGAAAGGGGAAAGAUUUAUCGGCAAAGGAUCGGCCCGCGUUGGAUUAGCUAGUUGGUGAGGUAAAGGCUCACCAAGGCGACGAUCCAUAGCUGGUCUGAGAGGAUGAUCAGCCACACUGGGACUGAGACACGGCCCAGACUCCUACGGGAGGCAGCAGUGGGGAAUAUUGGACAAUGGGCGCAAGCCUGAUCCAGCCAUGCCGCGUGAGUGAUGAAGGCCCUAGGGUUGUAAAGCUCUUUCACCGGUGAAGAUAAUGACGGUAACCGGAGAAGAAG